rnacentral:rRNA from 1 species
UGAGGAAUAUUGCGCAAUGGGGGCAACCCUGACGCAGCGACGCCGCGUGAGUGAGGAAGGCCUUCGGGUCGUAAAGCUCUGUCAAGAGGAAAGAAGUGCAUAAUGGUUAAUACCUGUUAUGUUUGACGGUACCUCUAAAGGAAGCACCGGCUAACUCCGUGCCAGCAGCCGCGGUAAUACGGAGGGUGCAAGCGUUGUUCGGAAUCACUGGGCGUAAAGGGCGCGCAGGCGGUAUGGUAAGUCAGAUGUGAAAGCCCACGGCUUAACCGUGGAAGGGCAUUUGAAACUGCCAGACUUGAGUACCAGAGGGGAAAGUGGAAUUCCCGGUGUAGAGGUGAAAUUCGUAGAUAUCGGGAGGAAUACCGGUGGCGAAGGCGACUUUCUGGCUGAGUACUGACGCUGAGGCGCGAAAGCGUGGGGAGCAAACAG